CAGUAGCCACGGUAAUACGUAGGUGGCAAGCGUUGUCCGGAAUUAUUGGGCGUAAAGGGCUCGCAGGCGGUUUCUUAAGUCUGAUGUGAAAGCCCCCGGCUCAACCGGGGAGGGUCAUUGGAAACUGGGAAACUUGAGUGCAGAAGAGGAGAGUGGAAUUCCACGUGUAGCGGUGAAAUGCGUAGAGAUGUGGAGGAACACCAGUGGCGAAGGCGACUCUCUGGUCUGUAGCUGACGCUGAGGAGCGAAAGCGUGGGGAGCGAACAGGAUUAGAUACCCCUGUAGUCCCUGUCUCUUAUAC
rnacentral:rRNA from 1 species